GACAGAGGAUGCAAGCGUUAUCCGGAAUGAUUGGGCGUAAAGCGUCUGUAGGUGGCUUUUUAAGUCCGCCGUCAAAUCCCAGGGCUCAACCCUGGACAGGCGGUGGAAACUACCAAGCUGGAGUACGGUAGGGGCAGAGGGAAUUUCCGGUGGAGCGGUGAAAUGCGUAGAGAUCGGAAAGAACACCAACGGCGAAAGCACUUUACUAGGCUAUCACUGACACUGAGAGACGAAAGCUAGGGUAGCAAAUGGG
rnacentral:rRNA from 1 species